rnacentral:rRNA from 1 species
UACGUAGGGGGCGAGCGUUGUCCGAAGUUACUGGGCGUAAAGCGCGCGUAGGCGGGGGGUUAAGUGAGAGGUGAAAGGCUGGGGCUCAACCUCAUGCAGUGCCUCUCAUACUGGCCUUCUUGAGGGCGGUAGGGAGAAGUGGAAUGGACUGGUGUAGCGGUGAAAUGCGUAGAUAUCUGAAGGAACAUCAGUGGCGAAAGCGACUUCCUGGACCAAUACUGACGCUCAUGUGCGAAAGCGUGGGGAGCAAACAGG